rnacentral:rRNA from 1 species
UUGGUGACGCGGGGGGGAGCCCUUGGAAGCGAUGUCUUUUCUUGUUUACCCCUCCACACCCUGGAAACAGUCUGCCUGGGGAUAGGGUUGGUUGGUGGGUAUAGCACUUCGCCCUCAGAGGUGUCUGGUGAGCUCCUCACUGCCCUUGAAAAGCUGAACGUAGCGUUUUUCGUCCCUGUUCGUACCCAUAGCCGCAUCAGGUCUCCAAGGUUAGCUGCCUCUGGUCUCUAGGGCAAAGUAGGUAAGGGAAGUCGGCAAAGUAGAUCCGUAACUUUGGGAAAAGGAUUGGCUCUGAGGGUUGGGCUUGUGGGUCUCCGUGGCAAUGGGAUAGCG